ACAGGCUUAACACAUGCAAGUCGAGGGGCAGCAUGGUCUUAGCUUGCUAAGGCUGAUGGCGACCGGCGCACGGGUGAGUAACACGUAUCCAACCUGCCGUCUACUCUUGGCCAGCCUUCUGAAAGGAAGAUUAAUCCAGGAUGGCAUCAUGAGUUCACAUGUCCGCAUGAUUAAAGGUAUUUUCCGGUAGACGAUGGGGAUGCGUUCCAUUAGAUAGUAGGCGGGGUAACGGCCCACCUAGUCAACGAUGGAUAGGGGUUCUGAGAGGAAGGUCCCCCACAUUGGAACUGAGAUACGGUCCAAACUCCUACGGGAGGCAGCAGUGAGGAAUAUUGGUCAAUGGGCGAUGGCCUGAACCAGCCAAGUAGCGUGAAGGAUGACUGCCCUAUGGGUUGUAAACUUCUUUUAUAAAGGAAUAAAGUCGGGUAUGCAUACCCGUUUGCAUGUACUUUAUGAAUAAGGAUCGGCUAACUCCGUGCCAGCAGCCGCGGUAAUACGGAGGAUCCGAGCGUUAUCCGGAUUUAUUGGGUUUAAAGGGAGCGUAGAUGGAUGUUUAAGUCAGUUGUGAAAGUUUGCGGCUCAACCGUAAAAUUGCAGUUGAUACUGGAUG
rnacentral:rRNA from 1 species